GACGAACGCUGGCGGCGUGCUUAACACAUGCAAGUCGAACGGAAAGGCCUCUUUCGGGGGGUACUCGAGUGGCGAACGGGUGAGUAACACGUGAGUAACCUGCCCUUGACUUUGGGAUAACUUCAGGAAACUGGGGCUAAUACCGGAUAGGAGCUCCUGCUGCAUGGUGGGGGUUGGAAAGUUUCGGCGGUUGGGGAUGGACUCGCGGCUUAUCAGCUUGUUGGUGGGGUAGUGGCUUACCAAGGCUUUGACGGGUAGCCGGCCUGCGAGGGUGACCGGCCACAUUGGGACUGAGAUAAGGCCCAGACUCCUACGGGAGGCAGCAGUGGGGAAUAUUGCACAAUGGGUGGAAGCCUGAUGCAGCAACGCCGUGUGCGGGAUGACGGCCUUCGGGUUGUAAACCGCUUUCGCUCAUGACGAAGCUUUGUGUGACGGUAGUGGGUAAAGAAGCACCGGCUAACUACGUG
rnacentral:rRNA from 1 species